ACGAGUGGCGGACGGGUGAGUAAUGUCUGGGAAACUGCCUGAUGGAGGGGGAUAACUACUGGAAACGGUAGCUAAUACCGCAUAACGUCGCAAGACCAAAGAGGGGGACCUUCGGGCCUCUUGCCAUCGGAUGUGCCCAGAUGGGAUUAGCUAGUAGGUGGGGUAACGGCUCACCUAGGCGACGAUCCCUAGCUGGUUUGAGAGGAUGACCAGCCACACUGGAACUGAGACACGGUCCAGACUCCUACGGGAGGCAGCAUG
rnacentral:rRNA from 1 species